CACAUAGGGUGCGAGCGUUGUCCGGAAUUAUUGGGCGUAAAGAGCGUGUAGGCGGCCCGGUAAGUCCGCUGUGAAAGUCCAGGGCUCAACCCUGGGAUGCCGGUGGAUACUGUCGGGCUCGAGUCCGGAAGAGGAGUGUGGAAUUCCUGGUGUAGCGGUGAAAUGCGCAGAUAUCAGGAGGAACACCAAUGGCGAAGGCAGCACUCUGGGACGUGACUGACGCUGAGACGCGAAAGCGUGGGGAGCAAACAGG
rnacentral:rRNA from 1 species